rnacentral:lncRNA from 1 species
ACCCGAAGUGCCACUAGCCUUUGUCCACAUCAACGUGCUGCGUGACCAGCUGGCACGUGAUCUUCGAGUGCAUGACGCACCGUUUCCGUUCGACCAGGAGAGGGCCAUUGCCGACUGGGUGUUUCUGUGCCUUAUCGUUGAAAACGACUUCCUACCGAAUCUGCCUUCCUUGUCAGUCAGUGAAAAUGCCGUUGAAAGACUCGAGAAUAUCUACAAGGAAACGUUGUGCAAACUGAAG